AAAGAAUGUGUUGGGUGUAAGCACAACAACUAUAUUUAUAUAAGAAAAUAAAGUUUGUUAUAUGUUGUGAAAUAUUUAAGGAAUAUUUGUAGGGUAUUUUGAAACAUUCAAGGAAGACUUUUUUGUGUUAAUUGAAAAAUUUAAGGAAUUGUAGUUUUUGAUUUAUCUCGUAUAUAGUUUAUUGUUAUAACUUUUAAGUUAAAGGUAAAUACAUAUAUUAAAUAUUAUCUACUUAAUAUAAAUUUAAGGUUGUCAUGAUGGUAACCCUAAACAAAAUCCUAGCUUCAUACUAAUGUGUCAUCUUCACGAAAUUCUCCUAAUUAAUUUUUUUGUUUGAAAUCUCUCAAAAGAAAAAAUUAUUAUUAUCUUAAUAAUCAUUAUUCAAAAAAUAUUCCAAUUAAUAAACAGUAUUAAAAAAAUCAUCCAUUUCUAAAACAAUUUUAAAAACAAUUAAAUUUAUAUAAUUCUAGAAUUUAAAAUUAAUAAAAUUUUAAAAAAUAUGAAUUGAGUACACCUUUAAAAUGGAUUAGAAUUAGAUGUCAAGGGAUGUGUGUCCAAGGAUUUUGUGAUGUUUGAUGGGAUUCUAUAGGAAUGAUCGGUGCAUGAUGAAGAAACAAAGGUUAGUGGAUACAAGCAAUGAUUGGAUUCAUAAACUUAUUUAGUUAAGCAAGGUUAUUGCACUGUUAAUAUCUUCGGAGUUACAUAGAGUCAAUGGAAACAUAGGCUUUGAUUUUAGAUACUUGAGUGUGUAUGGAAAAAGAAAACAAAAACGGUUUUUUUGUUGAGCACAUUUACAAGGAAACAACUUAGAAACAUGGUUAUAAGGUAUUUAUUGUUAUAAUCAAGGUAUUAAGUUUAACAUAGGACUGCGGUUGAAUCAAAAAGAAAAUUUAACACAUAACUUUAAGAAUUAAGAACUUAAAAAUAACCAUCAAUGCAUCAUGCAUAUACAUUUUGUAAAUUUUUAUAUUUUUAAUGUAGAAAUGAAUACAUGGUACAUAUUAAUUUAGAUAUUAAUAUUUAUAUAUCGAUUUCUUCUAGUUAAGCCAUUAUAAUUAAUAACUGUGCAAUUAUAAUUAUCUUUUCUAUUUUAACUUAUGGUAAAAACCAUAAUUAAUGUAGAUUUAGUUUCUGAACAUACACUUUCGAAAAAAUAGAGCAAAAAUGGUGCAUAAAUAAACAAUAAAAAAGUACAAAUUUUGCAAAAAAUAACUUACAAACCGUGACUCAUUUGUAUCCUCAACAAUACAUUUAUAAUCAUCUAGGUCAAAUACUUUAUAAAUCCAAACCUUUUGAAAUCUCACUACAUUUAUUUAUUUUUAUAUAUGGAUUGCAAAAGGUUUUGGAUUUAUAAAAUAUGAUAACUUAGAAAAAGAAUGUGUUGGGUGUAAGCACAACAACUAUAUUUAUAUAAGAAAAUAAAGUUUGUUAUAUGUUGUGAAAUAUUUAAGGAAUAUUUGUAGGGUAUUUUGAAACAUUCAAGGAAGACUUUUUUGUGUUAAUUGAAAAAUUUAAGGAAUUGUAGUUUUUGAUUUAUCUCGUAUAUAGUUUAUUGUUAUAACUUUUAAGUUAAAGGUAAAUACAUAUAUUAAAUAUUAUCUACUUAAUAUAAAUUUAAGGUUGUCAUGAUGGUAACCCUAAACAAAAUCCUAGCUUCAUACUAAUGUGUCAUCUUCACGAAAUUCUCCUAAUUAAUUUUUUUGUUUGAAAUCUCUCAAAAGAAAAAAUUAUUAUUAUCUUAAUAAUCAUUAUUCAAAAAAUAUUCCAAUUAAUAAACAGUAUUAAAAAAAUCAUCCAUUUCUAAAACAAUUUUAAAAACAAUUAAAUUUAUAUAAUUCUAGAAUUUAAAAUUAAUAAAAUUUUAAAAAAUAUGAAUUGAGU
rnacentral:lncRNA from 1 species